GACAAACGCUGGCGGCGUGCCUAACACAUGCAAGUCGAGCGCGAAAGGGACCUUCAGGUCCCCUGAGAGCGGCGAACGGGUGAGUAACACGUGGGCAACCUGCCUCAAGGACUGGGAUAACUCCGGGAAACCGGGGCUAAUACCGGGCGAUGUCGUCUGGCGCAAGCCGGCCGACCAAAUGGUAGCUUCGGCCUCCGCCUUGAGAUGGGCCCGCGUCCUAUCAGCUUGUUGGUGAGGUAAUGGCUCACCAAGGCUACGACGGGUAGCUGGUCUGAGAGGAUGAUCAGCCACACUGGGACUGAGAUACGGCCCAGACUCCUACGGGAGGCAGCAGUGGGGAAUUUUGCGCAAUGGGCGAAAGCCUGACGCAGCAACGCCGUGUGCAGGAUGAAGGCCUUCGGGUUGUAAACUGCUUUUGUACGGAACGAAACGGCGAGCUCUAAUAAAGUUUGCUAAUGACGGUACCGUAAGAAUAAGCACCGGCUAACUACGUGCCAGCAGCCGCGGUAAAAC
rnacentral:rRNA from 1 species